GGGAGUGAAAUAGAACAUGAAACCGUUAGCUUACAAGCAGUGGGGAGGACUAUUUAUUGUCUGACCGUCGUGGCCUGUUGAAGAAUGGAGCCGGCGACUUAUAGGCACUGGUAGGUUAAAGCGAGAAUGCUGGAGCCAAAGGGAAACCGAGUCUGAAAAAGGGCGAUAAUCAGUGUUUAUAGACCCGAACCCUGGUGAUCUAACCAUGGCCAGGAUGAAGCUUGGGUAACACCAAGUGGAGGUCCGCACCGACUGAUGUUGAAAAAUCAGCGGAUGAGCUGUGGUUUAGGGGUGAAAUGCCAAUCGAACCAGGAGCUAGCUGGUCUCCCCGAAAUGUGUUAGGCGCAGCGGUAAUGAUAUAUCUGGGGGUAAAGCACUGUUUCGGUGCGGGCUGGGAG
rnacentral:rRNA from 1 species